AAAGUCCCUAUUCUCCUCUGAUGAUAUUUCUGUGGAAUCAGCUUCUCCAGGAUGGGAUUCUUUCUCUUUUUUGGGUGCCCCGUCGACAGGUACAUCCUCCUCAAGAGCGUUCAGUGGAAAGGUUUUCCCCUUCCCUUUCCCAACAAGGAACAUUGCUUUCACCAAAUCAAGAGGGGGAGACAUUCCCUAUUUAAUGAAUUGGUUGGUUUCACACCACGAUAGAGAACGAGCUCUUUUUUGCGUUAUACAAUAGCUAGUGCGCAAUGCUGGAUGGUCUUCCGAAAGGCGAGCUUCCUUCUUUCAGAAUGCACUACUUCCUAUGCUAUAAACUCGUCUCAAGAUCAGGAUCAGUUAACAACUAAAAUUAGAGAAUCAAAAUCAAGCGAGACAGAGUAAUAUUCACCCUAAGUGGAUGGAAGGCCUUAUCAGCCUACGGCUUUUAGAAAAAGUUUGGCCGUUAACCCCUCCUGCGGGGCAUUAGUCAAGCUUUAGUCUAUCGUUUGAGGAAAGGCUAAAGGUGGAGGAUCGUCAGUAAGACUCGAGAAGUGGAGCAGAUGGGCGACAUCGAUCAUCCUAGACGUCGGUAUCCAUAAGGUACUGUGGUCACCUCUAAUUACAGUGGCUAUUGAGAUAGCUCCAGAAAUUGCGUAUGUCGAGGACUCCUCGCGUUACACCUUCUCUUUGUGCUUGCUCUAACCG
rnacentral:lncRNA from 1 species